UAUAUUCUUAGCUUUUAUCUAAUUAAAAUUAAAUCAAAAAUAGGAAUAAUGCUAAGAAGAACUUCUUAAUUAGGAGGUUUAAGAAACUGUAAGAGUUGUCGACGUGGUCGAUAAUUGUUGGUUGAGAAAAAAGAAAAAAAAUUGUCGAUUAGUUUUUUCUCUUCCUCCAAUCCUCCUCUCUCUCUCCGAAUAUAUUGCAAAACCAGAGAAGAUUUCUCUCAAAAAUCGAUUGCAAGCAGGCGAGAGUGAUUCAAUUUCUGGGUGAGUGGAUUAAUUUGUUGAAUUCUGUUUAGUUAGUUUUGGAUCAGUUCUUUAGAUGGACGUUAAGUGUAGGGUCCUUGAAUCUUGGUAAGUUAUAAUGUGUUAAUUGAUUCCUCUACUAUUAUUGAAGUUGUGGAUUUGAGACUCAUCUUUGGUUUUACUAUAUUGCUUUAUGCAAGAAGCAUGAAAUCCUACCCAACACUACCGUUUUAUACCUUAACGGUUUGAUUACUCUUUCCUUGUCCCGAAUAUCUUUUUAUACCUUAAUCUUUUCUUUUGUGUUCUGUAUUAUUUCUGAAGCUUUCCAUUUUCAUUUUGGUGAUUGGUUUCACUUUCAGGGACGUUUUAUUUCAAGGUUUGAGCAACAAAGUUUUGAAUGUGAUGUCUUUGCAAUUCCAUAAGCGUGUUCUUUGAGGGACGUUUUCUUUCAUUGUUGAAAUGGUGUUUGUUUGAUGUCUCUAAUAGUGAUAGACUGAGUUAUGGAUGUGUUUGGGCUGUGUAGAUAACAUGUGCAGGAGUACUUUAAUGUUUUUGUAUGUUCUGUUUUCUUGAAUGAGUUUCAGUUUAAAUGAGUUUCUGUGUUCUUAAAUGAUGAGGGUUGUGUGUGCUUCCAAGAGUGGUGUAGAGCAUCUUAUUGCAGAAUGGUGGUCUGGAGUUUUACAAGACAGUAGACCUGCAGUUUCUGCAUUUUUUGUUCAAUUGGUGCUAGGGCAAGACAGUGGAUCAAAUGACAAGUUCUGCAACAACAAUUUCCAUCAAGUAAGCUUGGGGACGCUUCAUAUUGAGGGCGGGAGUAUUGAGACUAAUGGUGAGAGAAGGAUCUGAAGAUAUGAUGAAGAUCCUGAUCUAAACUUUCAUUUUGUUCUGCAUCUUCUUUUGUAAUCAGAGAGUUCAUGGUUUUUAUUAAGAGAAAUUGAGUUUUUGUAAUCUUUUAUUUAAUCGUUUAUGGAGGUUUGAAGUUUAUGCAACUCUAAAUUUUCUUUCAAA